rnacentral:rRNA from 1 species
GACGGACGCUGGCGGCGUGCUUAACACAUGCAAGUCGAACGCUGAAGCACCAGCUUGCUGGUGUGGAUGAGUGGCGAACGGGUGAGUAAUACGUGAGUAACCUGCCCUUGACUCUGGGAUAAGCCCGGGAAACUGGGUCUAAUACUGGAUGCUACAUGUCACCGCAUGGUGGUGUGUGGAAAGGGUUUACUGGUCUUGGAUGGGCUCACGGCCUAUCAGCUUGUUGGUGAGGUAAUGGCUCACCAAGGCGACGACGGGUAGCCGGCCUGAGAGGGUGACCGGCCACACUGGGACUGAGACACGGCCCAGACUCCUACGGGAGGCAGCAGUGGGGAAUAUUGCACAAUGGGCGAAAGCCUGAUGCAGCGGCGCCGCGUGAGGGAUGACGGCCUUCGGGUUGUAAACCUCUUUCAGCAGGGAAGAAGCCACAAGUGACGGUACCUGCAGAAGAAGCGCCGGCUAACUACGUG